GAUGAACGCUAGCGGCAGGCCUAAUACAUGCAAGUCGGACGGUGUCUUCGGACAUAGUGGCGCACGGGUGCGUAACACGUAUGCAACCUACCUUACAUUGGGGGAUAGCCUUUCGAAAGGGAGAUUAAUACCGCAUAAGACAGUAGCUGGGCAUCCAGCAGCUGUUAAAGAUUUAUCGAUGUAAGCUGGGCAUGCGUCCAAUUAGCUAGUUGGUGAGGUAACGGCUCACCAAGGCAAUGAUUGGUAGGGGAACUGAGAGGUCAAUCCCCCACACUGGCACUGAGAUACGGGCCAGACUCCUACGGGAGGCAGCAGUAGGGAAUAUUGGGCAAUGGACGCAAGGCUGACCCAGCCAUGCCGCGUGCAGGAUGAAGGCGUUAUGCGUUGUAAACUGCUUUUAUACAGGAAGAAACGACUCUUGCGAGAGGCAUUGACGGUACUGUACGAAUAAGCACCGGCUAACUCCGUGCCAGCCGCCGCCGUAAUAC
rnacentral:rRNA from 1 species